GGAAGGAAGGCAACUGGAUCACAGAGCAGAAGAGGAGAGGAAGAAAUCACACAUACGUGGUUCAAUCUCUCAUAUAAUAGAUGCUUAGCUUUUCCAAAGUCUGUUUUGGCUAUUCAUGGUGGAAGGCAACAGCAGAUAGAAAGAAACUGUUCUGUUAGUCAAGGAAAAGGCUGAGCGGAUGGUUUUCACCGAGCCUGGCCGUACCUCUCCAUCCUCCAGCUCCACGUCUAGGAAAUCGAAGUCUCUAAAGACCCGGAACUGCUGCUCACUGUUGGUGUCGUCCAUGUUCUCCUGGUCCCGGGUGCCGUCCUCGGAGGACACUAGGCUCGUCUGAUGCUCCAGCAGAUCCAAGUCCCCACACGACGAGAAAAUCACCUACGAACCAAGAGUCCUCUGCUGAGAAACCGCUCUCCCUUCUUUGUUUGUGCUACAAAAAGUGUAACUGGCUCCUCAGAGCACUGUAUUUCCAGUACACACCUAAUUCCUUAAGUGGGUAUUUUUAGAAUGCUCUUUUAUUAUUUAUGUUGGACAGGCGCCUUCAGAUUAAACUCAUUGCGAAGAUGCAAGUUCACACACUAGGAAACUGUUCAAGAGUCAUAUCGCUGCUUCUUAAUGAAAAGUGUAUCCUACAUGCAUGUGUGCGUGUGUGUGUGUGUGUGUGUGUGACAACUGAGUGUAUGUUCACAGUCUACAGCAGCCAAGAAAUUUUCCAAUGUUUCUGCACUUACCGAGGUUAGAAACUGUACAGAUUCACACACACAUACACAUCACAUACAUAUUAUCAUGAAAGAUUUUAAGGACUACUGAUGCCAAGAUACGUUAUUGUAGAACGAACUGUGAGAGCAAAGUAUUUAACCCUCUUAGAGAUAAACCAGGAACCGGUAGGGAAAAAGAAACAUAAGUCAGGAAGUACAGUACUUGUUCAUCUGAAUUACAGAGGAGAAGCUGAGCAGCCGUGCUCAUAAUUCAUACUUAAAAGUCCUGUCCUGUUGAUUCAAACAAAACUUUUUUUCUAUUAAAAUUUUAGUAUGUUAAUAUUUUUAAAUUAACUUCCAUGUUUAGGUUCAUUUCACUUGGGCCAUUUUAAUAUAACUCUGUAGAAAUAACAGACUUCAAAUAAAUCUAAAUGUUUUGCUCUCCAGCCUCUCCUGAACAUAGACUGAUUUUAAAUAAAAUGAAUAGUAUUCUUUAUUUAACCGUUAUAACGUCUUGGUCUUCCUUGAAAGUAAGCAAGUCAUUUAUAAGAAUUUAAAUAUCACAAAUAUCUCUCAAAAGGAAAAAAAAGAGGGGGGGGAAUGGAUUUUAUUUUUUUAAAUUAUUUUUUAAAAAUGUCUCUCUUUCUUUUUGGCUGUGUUGGGUCUUUGUUGCUGAGCGUGGGCUUUUUCUCUAGUUGCGGCGAGCGGGGGCUACUCUUCGUUGUGGUGCGCGGGCUUCUCAUUGCAGUGGCUUCUCUUGUUGCGGAGCUCGGGCUCUAGGCACGCGGGCUUCAGUAGUUGUGGCGCACGGGCUUAGCUGCUCUGCGGCAUGUGGGAUCUUCCCGGACCAGGGCUUGAACCCGUGUCCUCUGCAUUGGCGGGUGGAUUCUCAACCACUGCGCCACCAGGGAAGCCCGGGAGUGGAUUUUAAACAUUCUUUUUUUUCUCCAGUGUUUAAGAGCAGUCAUAGGAUUUGCACUAGGUUUUCAUAAAAUGGUACAAGACACACAGUCUGUACAGGGAUUGCAAAUGGGUCUAUGAGAUAAAUAGCACUGAGGACCAGCCAACUAGUCAGUGAGAGAUGAGAGACUAGAAUUCUGAUUCCCUCAGCGGAGGCCUCCCUUUCCUUGUUAGUGCCACUUUUCUUAUUUGCAACAUAGUAAA